rnacentral:rRNA from 1 species
AUUGAACGCUGGCGGCAGGCCUAACACAUGCAAGUCGAGCGAGCGGCGGACGGGUGAGUAAUGUCUGGGAAACUGCCUGAUGGAGGGGGAUAACUACUGGAAACGGUAGCUAAUACCGCUUACCAUCAGAUGUGCCCCGAUGGGAUAAGCUAGUAGGUGGGGUAACGGCUCACCUAGGCGACGAUCCCUAGCUGGUCUUAGCGGAUGACCAGCAACACGGGAACUGAGACACGGUCCAGACGCCGUCGAGAGGCAGCGGUGGGGGAUAGUGCACAAUGGGCGCAUGCCUGAUGCAGCCAUGCCGCGUGUGUGAAGAAGGACUGCGGGUUGUAAAGCAAUUUCAGCGGGGAGGCGUUACCCGCAGAAGAAGCACCGGCUAGCUCCGUGCCAGCAGCCGGGGUAAUUC